GUGGACACGUGUUUUAAAAAUCAGUAAAAUUUUGAAGUUCACGUACUGCCCCGAUGGGGACGCUUUUAUCAAGCGAGUCAUUAUGAUUCGAAGCAUUUCUUUUCUACGAUAACUGCAUCUGGAUCUUGUCUUCGGUGGCGUUAAGCGAGAUUUCCCGUCAAAGUAAUGGAGGUGCCGUUGCAGAUGUGGGCGUCUUUCUUUACCAUCUCACUCAUUACCAACAAGUACGAUACGGACAAUCCGACUAUCUGCAAACAGGCCAACACUUUCACUUAUAGCGAUUAGCGACCGUUCAACAGCUUUCCGGUAGCUGCAGUGGGCUUACGGUGACAAUCAGCUGUUUGUUGAGAGUAAACAGUCCCCAUCCCGAGAAUUCGAUGGGAUAAUCGCGUAAACGCUGCACCGUCAGCGUGCACAGCGCUUUCCAGCGUUUAGUUGACCUUUCCUCGACUAGUGUUACGGCGGAAUUCUCCAUGCUGUGCAGAAGACGGUACAGAAUCGGAACCACCGAAUGCGCCUGUAAGGAAAAAAAGUGGUAACCCAGCUAAGAAAGCGUAGGACCAAGCACCUACCUGAUCGUGAAGGAAACACGAUACGCCCACUUUAAUCAGCAGUAGUAGCACACUUCCAAUUCCGCCGAUGAGGAACAAAAAGCGGUGUUCUUCCCGGUCCAUGGAGUACAAUCCCAGUGCGGUGUCCAUUUUAAAAUUGAACACAAAGUUCAGCAGGAAUAUCAGCAUGGUUACAUCGGUAGUACAGUAGAACAGGGUGGCCGGGGCGAAGAUAGCGUCCAUCUGUGCAUGGAUGCGGGAUAACUCCUGGUGCCGGUGGAGAACCCACUCAAUCCCGAUUAAAUCUGUCAGCUGCUCCGACGCGCACACGGAUGGUUCGUGCCAAUGUUGGAGCUGCUUGGUGCACUCGCCGAACUGUAGGGCAUUCGUGAGGCCCAGGAAGCAAUAGGCGCAUACCGAUGCCAGGCGGGAGAA